rnacentral:rRNA from 1 species
AUUGAACGCUGGCGGCAUGCUUUACACAUGCAAGGCGAACGGCAGCGCGGGCUUCGGCCUGGCGGCGAGUGGCGAACGGGUGAGUAAUGCAUCGGAACGUGCCCAGUAGUGGGGGAUAGCCCGGCGAAAGCCGGAUUAAUACCGCAUACGACCUGAGGGUGAAAGCGGGGGACCGAAAGGCCUCGCGCUAUUGGAGCGGCCGAUGUCGGAUUAGCUAGUUGGUGGGGUAAAGGCUUACCAAGGCGACGAUCCGUAGCUGGUCUGAGAGGACGACCAGCCACACUGGGACUGAGACACGGCCCAGACUCCUACGGGAGGCAGCAGUGGGGAAUUUUGGACAAUGGGGGCAACCCUGAUCCAGCCAUGCCGCGUGCGGGAAGAAGGCCUUCGGGUUGUAAACCGCUUUUGUUCGGGAAGAAAUCCUCUGGGCUAAUACCCCGGGGGGAUGACGGUACCGGAAGAAUAAGCACCGGCUAACUACGUG